rnacentral:rRNA from 1 species
CAGCCGCCGCGGUAAUACCGGCGGCCCGAGUGGCGGUCACUAUUAUUGGGCUUAAAGCGUCCGUAGCCGGGUUGGGAAGUCCUCCGGGAAAUCUGGCCGCUUAACGGUCAGAAUGCCGGAGGAUACUCCCAGCCUAGGGAGCGGGAGAGGCCGAGGGUAUUCCCGGAGGAGGGGUGAAAUCCUAUAAUCCCGGGAGGACCACCUGUGGCGAAGGCGCUCGGCUGGAACGCGUCCGACGGUGAGGGACGAAGGCCAGGGGAGCAAACCGGAUUAGAUACCCGGGUAGUCCUGGCUGUAAACGAUGCGGACUUUGUGUCGGACAAGCUAUGAGCUUGUCCGGUGCCGGAGGGAAACCGUUAAGUCCGCCGCCUGGGGAGUACGGCCGCAAGGCUGAAACUUAAAGGAAUUGGCGGG